rnacentral:ribozyme from 1 species
AGAAACAACCAAGGAUAAGAGAGCACAAAUUGUUUUCAUUUUGCAAAUUUCGGGUCUUUUGAAUUGUUUUUGUUUUGUUUUGUUUUUUGUUUUUGUC